CACCUACGGGAGGCAGCAGUGAGGAAUAUUGGUCAAUGGACGGAAGUCUGAACCAGCCAUGCCGCGUGAAGGAUGAAGGCGUUCUGCGUUGUAAACUUCUUUUAUCAGGGAAGAAACCACAGAUUUCUAUUUGUGUUGACGGUACCUGAGGAAUAAGCACCGGCUAACUCCGUGCCAGCAGCCGCGGUAAUACGGAGGGUGCAAGCGUUAUCCGGAUUUACUGGGUUUAAAGGGUGUGUAGGCGGGCAUUUAAGUCUGGGGUGAAAUCUCCGAGCUCAACUCGGAAACUGCCUUGGAUACUAUUUGUCUUGAAUUAUGUUGAGGUAGGCGGAAUAUAACAUGUAGCGGUGAAAUGCAUAGAUAUGUUAUAGAACACCGAUUGCGAAGGCAGCUUACUAAACAUAUAUUGACGCUGAGGCACGAAAGCGUGGGGAUCAAACAGGAUUAGAUACCCUGGUAGUCCACGCCCUAAACGAUGAUUACUCGUCAUACGUGAUACACAAUGUGUGACCAAGCGAAAG
rnacentral:rRNA from 1 species